AGUGAACGCUGGCGGUAGGCCUAACACAUGCAAGUCGAACGGCAGCACAGUAAGAGCUUGCUCUUACGGGUGGCGAGUGGCGGACGGGUGAGGGAUACAUCGGAAUCUACUUUUUCGUGGGGGAUAACGUAGGGAAACUUACGCUAAUACCGCAUACGACCUACGGGUGAAAGCAGGGGAUCUUCGGACCUUGCGCGAUUGAAUGAGCCGAUGUCGGAUUAGCUAGUUGGCGGGGUAAAGGCCCACCAAGGCGACGAUCCGUAGCUGGUCUGAGAGGAUGAUCAGCCACACUGGAACUGAGACACGGUCCAGACUCCUACGGGAGGCAGCAGUUGGGAAUAUUGGACAAUGGGCGCAAGCCUGAUCCAGCCAUACCGCGUGGGUGAAGAAGGCCUUCGGGUUGUAAAGCCCUUUUGUUGGGAAAGAAAAGCAGCAGGUUAAUACCCCGCUGUUCUGACGGUACCCAAAGAAUAAGCACCGGCUAACUUCGUG
rnacentral:rRNA from 1 species